rnacentral:lncRNA from 1 species
AGCCCCAGCACAGCACCUGGCACACAAUAGGUGCUUAAUAUGUGGUGACUACUAUCGUUUUCUGAUGAAGCCUUUAACACAGUGCCUGGCACACAGUAGGGGCCUAAUACAUGGGGACUAUUAACUUUUCUGAUACAGCCCUUAGCACAGUGCCUGGCACGCAGUAGGGGUUUAAUAUGCAGGGACUACUACUGUUUUCUGAGAGAGCCUUUGGCACAGUGCCUGGCACAUAGUAGGUGCUGCUUAAAUGACAACUGCUGUUUUUCUCUUCAGAGACCUGUUACCGUACCCAGUCCAUAGUAGAUGUUCAAUAAAUGAGACUUGCUGUUGAUAGGUUAGUAGUAGAUGUAGUGUGGUGCCAGGUGCAUAGUUGGGACUGAACACAGAAGUGCUGUGAUCUUUAAAGAUUUUGGCACACAGUAGGUGCUCAAUAUGAGCUAUGAAGUCCUGAGCCUGGUACCUGACACCAGUAGGUGUCCAAUAAACAGGCACUUUUAUUAUUACUUGAUAAAGCCCUUGACAUUCUAUCUGGCACACAGUAGGUGCUCAAGACAUGGGCAUUAUUUUCAAGUGAGGCCAAUUGGAUGGUCCUAGUUGAAGUAAGCUUUUGGGAUGGGCUUUGGGUCCCUGGUAGCACAAGUGUUCAGUAAAUAAAUGCUUUUACUACAAGAAAAAUUUUACCAUAUUUUCCGUAAAUUAUUAUGAAGCCCUUGGCACCAUGCCUGACCUACAGUAGGUGGCCAGUAAAUAAGUGCAUUUGCUGUUAUUGUAUGAAGCCCUUGGCAUGACACCUGGCACAUGGUAGGUAGCUAAUAAUUGGGGCUUCUAUUGCUGUU